CGGACGGGUGAGUAACGCGUGAGAAUCUGCCCUUAGGACGGGGACAACAGCUGGAAACGGCUGCUAAUACCCGAUGUGCCGAGAGGUGAAACAUUUUAUGGCCUGAGGAUGAGCUCGCGUCUGAUUAGCUAGUUGGUGGGGUAAGGGCCUACCAAGGCGACGAUCAGUAGCUGGUCUGAGAGGAUGAUCAGCCACACUGGGACUGAGACACGGCCCAGACUCCUACGGGAGGCAGCAGUGGGGAAUUUUCCGCAAUGGGCGCAAGCCUGACGGAGCAAGACCGCGUGCGGGAGGACGGCCUAUUGGUUGUAAACCGCUUUUGAUAGGGAAGAAGUUCUGACGGUACCUAUCGAAUCAGCAUCGGCUAACUCCGUGCCAGCAGCCGCGGUAAUACGGAGGAUGCAAGCGUUAUCCGGAAUUAUUGGGCGUAAAGCGUCCGUAGGUGGUUGUUCAAGUCUGCUGUUAAAGCGUGCGGCUUAACCGCAUACCAGCAGUGGAAACUGGGCGACUAGAGUGCGGUAGGGGUCAGGGGAACUCCCAGUGUAGCGGUGAAAUGCGUAGAUAUUGGGAAGAACACCGGUGGCGAAAGCGCCUGACUGGACCUGCACUGACACUGAGGGACGAAAGCUAGGGGAGCGAAAGGGAUUAGAUACCCCUGUAGUC
rnacentral:rRNA from 1 species